UUUUAUGGAGAGUUUGAUCCUGGCUCAGGAUGAACGCUGGCGGCGUGCCUAAUACAUGCAAGUCGAGCGAACGGACGAGAAGCUUGCUUCUCUGAUGUUAGCGGCGGACGGGUGAGUAACACGUGGAUAACCUACCUAUAAGACUGGGAUAACUUCGGGAAACCGGAGCUAAUACCGGAUGAUAUUUUGAACCGCAUGGUUCAAAAGUGAAAGACGGUCUUGCUGUCACUUAUAGAUGGAUCCGCGCUGCAUUAGCUAGUUGGUAAGGUAACGGCUUACC
rnacentral:rRNA from 1 species